rfam:Schistosoma haematobium scaffold677_6, whole genome shotgun sequence.
AUCCAACUGACGAGUCCCAAAUAAGAUGAUACGCGCGUCUUAGAU